ensembl:lncRNA
ACCAUGUGUCAUUAUCACCACCACAACCAGUUGACAGAGGUGGGAGUGAUGGGCCUUUUAGGCUGUUGUUGUGUGCAUGUUAAUGUGCCUUUGCCUGCGUGUUUGUGUGUGUGUGUGUGUGUGUGUGUGUGUGAGAGAGAGAGAGAGAAGUAAGAUCGACAGGGCUAAUUAUGAAAGGAGACAGUCUGAGGGGGUUUAUGUGCGGAGAAGGGGAAAAACACGUUGGACAAAAAAAAAUAGAAAGCACAAACGUACAUACUGGCAAAAUACAAGAACAAACAAAUGCUAAAGAAGAGCUAAACAAAAUGUCCGCUCCCAUUUAAACAGGUUUUAAAUGCUUGAUUUUUGCUAUUUGUCAGCAAUGUAGUAAAAACAGCACCCCUGAUUAUCACCUAGUAUCCAGAUGCAUGACAUUUUUUAAAGGGGUCAUAUGAUGCAAUUUCAAAUUUUCCUUUCUCUUUGGAGUUUUACAAGCUCUUGGUGAAUAAAGAUGCUCUGUAAAGUUGCAAAGACUAAAGAUUCAAAUCCAAAGAGAUAUUCUUUAUCAAAUUUAAGACUCUGCCACACCCCCCUGAAACGGCUCGUUUCUUACACGCCCCCACAUCUCUACGUCACUAUGUGGAAACAUUUGCGUAAUGCCGCCCAAAUGUUCAUGCAAAGAAAGAAGGUGUGGUUUCAGUAACCACAGUUAGUGUUGAAGCAGCCAUGUCAGGGAGAUGCUGUGUGUAUCUAGGUGAAAGCAAAAGCACUUUACUUGGCCUUCUGAAAGUAGAUGCAUUUAGAAAUCUUUUGGAUUACUUACAACAGAACAGCAACACAUUUUAUGGACGACCGCUUCGUGAACCUAGGAGAGGAGGUAAUUCUGACUUUGCUACGACAAUCUUGCGCUUCUGAAUCAGCUACUAUGAAGCUUGCCAUUAUGGAAAGGGACGUUACUUUUCUGACGAGUGCUUCCGGUGCUCGGCCAAUCAGAAUGCACUGGGUCAGUUGGCCAAUCAAAGCAGACUGGGCUUGUCAGAAGGAGGGACUUUGUAGAAAAUGACGUGUUUGAGAGAGGCGUGGCAUAGAGGACCUACAAUAAUGUACAGUAUUUGAAAAAUAAUGUGUUUUUUUGAACAUUAAAGCAUGUCAACAUAUUCUGUUACACCAAAUACACAAAAUAAUGAUCUUUAAAAAAAGCAUCACAUGACCCCUUUAAUGUGAAUUGAAGGGUAGCUGACUUUCAUUCAGUGUGUUCAGUAAAGUUGAACUGAGGAUUCUGGAGUGUGAUUAGCCAACGUGAUUAAGUGUUAGUAUUUAAGGUCAGGGUUUUUUAUUAUUAUUGUUUAACAUUUUAUUAUUGUUUUAGAAACAGGUGUGUUUGGAAUACUUGGAUUAAUGACAUCUCUUGUUUUCAUUUGGAAAUGUUUUCCAGAAGGUUCUCUUAUCAUUGGGGUUUAGUGCUUGUGGAGGGGAGUGAAGUCACGGUGGGCUUGUGUCUUGAAACAUUCUCAGAUCCCAGUCAAGUCUGCCAGUCGUCCUGGAAGGAUAGUCAUGUUGUUUUACUUUACAAAAAAGAAAACACUAAAAAACGUAUAUAAUGAUCUGAUUAACUGGCAAACUUUGGUUUGGUUUGGUUACCGUCUCUCUGAAACGAAUCUAAAUAAGCACUUUGUCUUAAAGAGCUCAGACAAACAUUC